rnacentral:rRNA from 1 species
UACAGGGGGGGCAAGCGUUGUUCGGAAUUACUGGGCGUAAAGGGCUCGUAGGCGGCCAACUAAGUCACACGUGAAAUCCCCAGGCUUAACCUGGGAACUGCGUGUGAUACUGGAUGGCUUGAAUCCGGGAGAGGGAUGCGGAAUUCCAGGUGUAGCGGUGAAAUGCGUAGAUAUCAGGAGGAACACCCGUGGCGAAAGCGGCUCUCUGGGACGGUACUGACGCUGAGACGCGAAAGCGUGGGGAGCAAACAGG